GUCGGGGUGGGUGGGUCCCUCAGUCCGGAUUGCAAGAGGUUGCAGGCCAGGCUGAGGGACCCCACCAGUGCACA
rnacentral:pre_miRNA from 1 species